rnacentral:lncRNA from 1 species
GAGCACAAGGAAGACAUUAAGUAAACAGCAUGUAAAUGCAUGAGAUUUAGGAAGAACCUUGCUUUUAACAUCCGAGUUCUUUAAAAAAAAAAAAAAAUACAGCAGGAUGUCACAUUGGCCAUCACAAUAUUAAGUAGUGCCUGUCCUGCAUAACAAGAGAACAUAAAGAGGGGGAAAUCCAGAACGACUGAAAGACCACCUACAUUUCAAACCCAUCUUAAGAGCUUGUCAACUGGAGCAAUAAUCAACUGAGAAAAGGAGGCUGCACAGUUCAGAAGCAACCAUUCAAGCUUUGUCCUGCACUAACAUGAGAAGUUGUCUGUUGGAUUUACCCCUGUGGUGGCAGAAGGAAAAAUCCAUUCCAAGCUGCAAGCAUAAUAUUGAAAACAAUGUCCACUAUCUACAAAGAAAGUCUUCCAUUAAUUGAAAGUG